rnacentral:misc_RNA from 1 species
GUUCAAGACCGUCCACUCAUGCCAGGACGAUGGUUUGGCCUCUUCUCUUGGCUCCUGGAAGCGGAUUCUUGAGCUCCCGCCGCCAGUAGAUGACAUCCAGAUGCUAAUCACCGAGUAGCUUGUCGUCACUUGUCAAAGUUCUUGAAGUUCUUCUUGCUGCAUUAUCUAAAUGAGCAGAAGAAGAAGUCUUUAGGUAUCUGGUCUCAGUUUAGACACCAAAAUGUCAAAUGUCUAUCUUGGAAGACCUAUGAUAUGAGUACAUAUGUGAUGUGUCUUCAGUUUGAUCCUCUGAAAAAUG